rnacentral:rRNA from 1 species
AGAACGAACGCUGGCGGCAGGCUUAACACAUGCAAGUCGAGCGCCUCGGCAACGGGGAGCGGCAGACGGGUGAGUAACGCGUGGGAACAUACCCCAAGGUUCGGAAUAACUCAGGGAAACUUGAGCUAAUACCGAAUAUCUCCGAGAGGAGAAAGAUUUAUCGCCUUGGGAUUGGCCCGCGUCCGAUUAGCUAGUUGGUGUGGUAAUGGCGCACCAAGGCGACGAUCGGUAGCUGGUCUGAGAGGAUGAUCAGCCACAUUGGGACUGAGACACGGCCCAAACUCCUACGGGAGGCAGCAGUGGGGAAUAUUGGACAAUGGGCGCAAGCCUGAUCCAGCCAUGCCGCGUGAGUGAUGACGGCCUUAGGGUUGUAAAGCUCUUUCGCCCACGACGAUAAUGACGGUAGUGGGAGAAGAAGCCCGGCUAACUUCGUGCCAGCAGCCGC